CCUCAGCACCCUCACAGGGAAGAUUACUGUAGUAAAUAGUGUAAAGAAAUAUUGUUUUAUAAACAGAAUGGAGGCAAAGGGAGGGAUUUGCCUUAUGCAGCACAGAAACUUGUCUAAACCCAUAAAACAAGUUUCUGAAGUCUCAGGUUAGCAUUGUAAACUUCCAGUCAUCUUACAUGAUUUUCAGUUGCUGAGAAGAAAAUCCUUUAAAAGGUAACUUUCAAGGUUGAUGGACAAAAUAACACGGAACAAGGGGAAUGUUAGGUUCAGAAUACUUCUAAAGAUCUCUGCAGUAAAAUUUGGCCUCAUUAACUCGAUGAAAGCAAUAAGCUGCUUAUAAAACUACUUUAAAGCGUCUCUUGUAUCAGGAGAGAGCACUUGCUUUCCAUUUCCUUCAGUCUUCAAAUGCUGUUUGUAAGCACAGAAGGCAGGUUUGGUUUGUCAAGUUGAUAGUGUCCCUUUAAUGCCAAAGAAUCAGACCCUUCAUUAGGCUCCAUGCUAUGAGCAAAGAGGCACAGAAGAGUUUGCUAAUAAAGAGAGGACUGUAAGGAGCUCCAGCUUUUGAACAGAAAGAUAAAAAGAGCCUGAAGGAAUAUCAUUAGCACCCAGGACCUAAUUCUUCCUCUCAAAUAAAACCUGGAUGCAGACAACAGCUAACGUACCAGUUGAUCCUCCCUGUAACCUUUGAGCCCAGUGACCAACUUCCAUCAAACUUGACAAGAGACAGCAAUCUCAGCUAUUACAACACUGAAGGUUUCAAGAUCUAAGGGGCUAUCGAGAGAGACCUUACAAGCGUAUCUGCUGACAAGAAAGCUAAUAAGCUUUCUCCUUUGUAGCCAUAAGGGAAUUCAAAUGGAGCAGGCUGAGAGGGAAAUACAGAACACCCAGUUUCACUUGCAAAUUGCCUGUAGUGACAGUUGAAGGACCCACUAGUCUGCAGUGGGUGGCUGGUGGAUGAAGUGCAACAGGGAUGUGGUUUUCUUAUGAAUUCAGGCAGGCUCUGCAGUUUCAGCUGUUGACUUCUGGAAUAAAGUCUUGCAAGACUAAUAUUUUGUUUCCAACAGGGGCGUGAAGAUGGUUUUACGGACAAAUGCUGAAAACACUUAUAACUGGAUGUUAUAAGUGUUUUCUUAUGCAUAUUAGCACUUAUAACUGCAAUGUUACUAGCAGUGGUCAUCGAGGUGUGACACUUGUCUAAGGAACAACUUCUUGAAAUGGGUAAAUGAAAAUGUGAUUCAUCUGCAGCUAUUUUUGCCCUGAUGAUAGCUUCAAGACUGAAGAGGAGUAGCAGCUACCUACAUAUUUUCUCUCUUCUAUGUGAGGUGCUUCAAAAGAGACAUAACAGGAUUAAAAAUUUAGGAAAGAAAACAAGCAACUUGAUGGUAGCCAGAGAUUUUUAUGCUCAAAGGAAGAGUUCUUCUGAAACCUGAGAGGUGGCUGAUUUCCAUUACAAGGGCUCUGUCAGGUAUUUUAAAAUGACAAAGUGUGUAAAGUCUGUGCCAGCAUCUCUCAUGUCAGCUCAAGACAACUGUCGCAGAAACUGGAAUACAGGCACCUCCUGCAUAUACUCAGAUAACUAGCACCGGUGCAGUAAGCGUGACAUGGUCCAGAUACCUCAGAUUUAUAGUCACUUGAAGUGCAGUCGAGCUGUGUGGACGCUGGCCAGCUGUCAGGACAGCUAUAAUUUGAGCUGCACUCUUGCCCAUCCAGUCAGGUUGCUAGCUGUCCAGAAGUCCCAGCCGUGAGGCCAAAUUCCUGGGUUUCUGUUUGAAUAAAAUUUAGGGGGCGAGGGCAAGAAAGGGCACGCAUGGAAAGAAUUAAGAUACGUAAGUGAAUACCCAGCUUUUUAUUACAGAAAGGAUUGCUCUUCCACUAACCACUACAGUGCUGUUUGUCUCUGGGUGCCUUGCCAGCUCCUGGGACUUGGUGUGAGGAAAUGGGUUAUUACUACUUAUAACAGAAAUGACCAAAUGCUUGCUAACUAUUAGCCAGUCCAUAGGAGAAAAAAGCAUCACUCUUCAGAAGAAUUUAUGAUUUUUGAGGUUCCAGUCCUACAGGUUUGCAAACAUCACUGCACGUGACUAGAGACUGACAGAUUCUAACUAACAACAUUACACAUGAGCAAUUCCAGGAAACUCAUGUGUCCACUCAUGUGCGUAAGUAUUUACAGAAACAGGAUCCAGUUGUUCUGGAAAUCCAUAUAUCUUGUAUGUUUAUAAUUUGCUCUGUCUGAGCCAUAGUCUCAUGUCCAUUGUGAUGCCACUCGUUUAUUUUUCAGUGCAAACAAGCUGGUUCAAGUUUUGCUUUCAAAUAUUUUGUUUCCAGAUGCUUCUUUCUGCUUGUUUGUCUCCUUAGGUGUCAUCCUGACAUCUGUACUCUGGAAAAUACAAGCUUCUCAGCCUGAAAUGCUAUUCUUUUAGCUUUAAGAUUUUAUAGUACCAUAUUUAUCUCUGUCCAUUACAUAUCACAUUUUUAUUCAAAGAAAGUUUUUUACAAGUUCUUGAAUAUCCUAAGGAGGACGUUGAGUCUCAGCUUAAAGUCUCAAAUGUUUGUUUCUCAUAUGCAUAGAGCUUUGCACUGUGUUCUGAGAAUCUAUAGUAACAGCUAAGUUACAAUAGCAAGAUACAAUAAACUAACCCAGGAGGAGUAUUUU